UGGACCAGCCUUGAACCACAGCUCAGACUUAUUUUCAUUCUCUGCUCAUUGGCCAUUAGGAACCCAAUCCUUAUGACCUGCAGUGACCCACUGCUAACAGAGCUGACUUGCUUCAAAGUGACGGAUGAAACCCAUAUGGAGAUAUUCCUGGAUUCAGUUGGAAGACAGAGUGCUUACAUCUGAGAGAGGAUUUGAGAAUUUUACUCAGAGUCACGUUGCUCGCUGCUGCGCACUCCUGCAGGCACGUCUCAGUGGACUCUGCACUGCAUCCCCAGAGUACAGCGUGUUUCCCACCUCCCGUUAGAGAUCCAAUACAUAUUUUGUUUGAAAGAUGAAACUGAUGGAAGAGAGGAAGGAAAAAAGAGAAGAAGGAAAGGGAUAGGAAGAAGGGGAAGGAAAGGGACAGGAAGGAGGAAAAGGAAAAGGAAAGGAAGGAAGAGAAAGGAAAGGGAACUUGAAAUCCUACAAGGUCUCAAAGUCAAAAAACAUGAUUGCCGUUUUAGAGAAUUGAAGAUCUUUCAUCUUCAAGAAUUUGAAAUCUACCAUGGUCUUCACAUGUAGCUAAACACAACGGGAUGUAGUCAUUUGAGAGUGCUAUGAAGGCAGU